GUUCCUUACCAGCUUAUUUUCCUUGUGACGCAUCCCGCGGACCGCCGCACCGAUCAGCCAGUGCUACCUACAGAAGCCAUCAUCUGGUGCUGUGUACAGCAAGCACAUGCUUCGGGCAAGGAGGGAGCCAGCACCACAUCUACAUCAGCAAGAACCUCGGUGCUCAAAAUAAACAUUUUCUGUGCAAA
rnacentral:lncRNA from 1 species